UACGUAGGUGGCGAGCGUUGUCCGGAUUUACUGGGCGUAAAGAGCGCGCAGGCGGUCGUACAAGUCGCGUGUGAAAGCCCCCGGCUCAACUGGGGAGGGUCACGCGAUACUGUUCGACUCGAAGGCAGGAGAGGGAAGUGGAAUUCCCGGUGUAGUGGUGAAAUGCGUAGAUAUCGGGAAGAACACCCGUGGCGAAGGCGGUUCUCUGGGACGGUACUGACGCUGAGACGCGAAAGCGUGGGGAGCGAACAGG
rnacentral:rRNA from 1 species